UUUAACGGCCGCGGUAUUUUAACCGUGCAAAGGUAGCGUAAUCACCUGUCUUUUAAAUAAAGACCCGUAUGAAUGGCAAAACGAAGGCUCAACUGUCUCCUCCCCUCAGUCAAUGAAAUUGAUCCCCCCGUGCAGAAGCGGGGCUUUCACCAUAAGACGAGAAGACCCCAUGAAGCUUUAGACACCAAAUACCCACACAAAAAUCUCUCACUACCAGAUGAUAGUGAAAUUCCCCUAUUUUGCUCGUCUUUGGUUGGGGUGACCACGGGGGAAAUAAGCCCCCCAGAGGAAUGAGGACACUGACCUUACAGCUGAGACCCACAACUCCAAGCAACAGAACUUCUGACUAAGACGAUCCGACUACGCCGAUCCACGAACCAAGUUACCCUGGGGAUAACAGCGCAAUCC
rnacentral:rRNA from 1 species